rnacentral:rRNA from 1 species
UGGCUCAGAUUGAACGCUGGCGGCAUGCCUUACACAUGCAAGUCGAACGGUAACGCGGGGCAACCUGGCGACGAGUGGCGAACGGGUGAGUAAUACAUCGGAACGUGCCCAGUAGUGGGGGAUAGCCCGGCGAAAGCCGGAUUAAUACCGCAUACGACCUACGGGUGAAAGCAGGGGACCGCAAGGCCUUGCGCUAUUGGAGCGGCCGAUGUCAGAUUAGGUAGUUGGUGGGGUAAAAGCCCACCAAGCCAACGAUCUGUAGCUGGUCUGAGAGGACGACCAGCCACACUGGGACUGAGACACGGCCCAGACUCCUACGGGAGGCAGCAGUGGGGAAUUUUGGACAAUGGGCGCAAGCCUGAUCCAGCCAUGCCGCGUGCGGGAAGAAGGCCUUCGGGUUGUAAACCGCUUUUGUCAGGGAAGAAACGCUCUGGGUUAAUACCCCGGGGUAAUGACGGUACCUGAAGAAUAAGCACCGGCUAACUACGUGCCAGCAGCCGCGGUAAUACGUAGGGUGCAAGCGUUAAUCGGAAUUACUGGGCGUAAAGCGUGCGCAGGCGGUCUUGCAAGACAGAUGUGAAAUCCCCGGGCUUAACCUGGGAACUGCAUUUGUGACUGCAAGGCUGGAGUACGGCAGAGGGGGAUGGAAUUCCGCGUGUAGCAGUGAAAUGCGUAGAUAUGCGGAGGAACACCGAUGGCGAAGGCAAUCCCCUGGGCU